rfam:Pseudomonas knackmussii B13 complete genome
ACGUACUGAAGUACGCUGCGGUUCCUGUGCGCUGGCCGGACGCGGCUGAGGGCCUGCUCGCGACGCUCCCUGAACG